ACCGUCCACCACCCAAGGUCUCUAUAUUUCAGAAAAACAAAAAAGAGGCCUUGGGAAUCAUGGUGACUUAUUUUGAUAAGGUCGGGGAGUGGGAAACUAGUUGGUCCACCCAGAAAAUAGCCUGAUGUAAUAUGCCAGGAAGAUCUGGAGCUGGGGUUUCUAGGAGUAAGCUCCUGCCUGGAUCCAUGUCUUUUGCGUACUACUUGUUUCCUCGGCUGGGCUCGCCCGCCGACUGGACAACCUACAACUCUCUUGCAAUUGCAAUCAGCGUCUGAAUAAACUAUAAUAGUUACAACUUUCAACAACGGAUCUCUUGGUUCUGGCAUCGAUGAAGAACGCAGCGAAAUGCGAUAAGUAGUGUGAAUUGCAGAAUUCAGUGAAUCAUCGAAUCUUUGAACGCACAUUGCGCCCCUUGGUAUUCCAUGGGGCAUGCCUGUUCGAGCGUCAUUUGAACCCUCAAGCCUUGCUUGGUGAUGGGCGCUUGUCCUCUUCUUUAGUACUUGGACUCGCCUUAAAAUUAUUGGCAGCCGGCAUAUAGGCCUUUGGAGCGCAGCACAUUUUGCGAUCUAAGCCGUUAUUCUGGUACCCAUUAAGCUUGUUUUACCACGUUUGACCUCGGAUCAGGUAGGGAUACCCGCUGAACUUAAGCAUAUCAAUAAGCGGAGGAAAAGAAACCAACAGGGAUUGCCCUAGUAACGGCGAGUGAAGCGGCAACAGCUCAAAUUUGAAAUCUGGCUCUUUCAGAGUCCGAGUUGUAAUUUGCAGAGGGCGCUUUGGCGUUGGCAGCGGUCUAAGUUCUUUGGAACAGGACGUCACAGAGGGUGAGAAUCCCGUACGUGGUCGCUAGCCCUCGCCGUGUAAAGCCCCUUCGACGAGUCGAGUUGUUUGGGAAUGCAGCUCUAAAUGGGAGGUAAAUUUCUUCUAAAGCUAAAUACUGGCCAGAGACCGAUAGCGCACAAGUAGAGUGAUCGAAAGAUGAAAAGCACUUUGGAAAGAGAGUCAAAUAGCACGUGAAAUUGUUGAAAGGGAAGCGCUUGCAGCCAGACUUGCCUGUAGUUGCUUAUCCAGACUCUUGUCUGGUGCACUCUUCUAUAGGCAGGCCAGCAUCAGUUUGGGCGGUUGGAUAAAGGUCUCUGUCACGUACCUCCUUUCGGGGAGGCCUUAUAGGGGAGACGUAAUGCAACCAGCCUGG
rnacentral:rRNA from 1 species